AUGAAAUUUCAUUGGAGUGAUGC
rnacentral:siRNA from 1 species